rnacentral:ncRNA from 1 species
UCGAUCGCAAUGAGAAAGAAGAGUAAAUUAUCGAUAGCCUUCAGCGAGUCUCGGUAGGUGGAAGGAGACAGGUUCAACUUUAAUUGAAAAUCACUUUCGAGCUUAAGUCUUAAGAGAUAAUAGUAAGACUUAAUGGUAGCACCCAUUAUAGUGCUAGCGUAUCGCCCAUGUAGUCCCGGGCCGUACGUAUAAGGUAUUGUCAGCAAUGAUAAUACGAAGAUAGGGUGGUACCACGCUCGAGCGUCCCUUAA